rnacentral:rRNA from 1 species
CCUACGGGAGGCAGCAGUGAGGAAUAUUGGUCAAUGGGCGCAAGCCUGAUCCAGCCAAGUAGCGUGAAGGAUGACUGCCCUACGGUUGGUAAGCUUCUUUUGUACAGGGAUAGGUUGAAGCACGUGUGCCUUUUUGUAUUUACUUUAUGAAUAAGGAUCGGCUAACUCCGUGCCAGCAGCCGCGGUAAUACGGAGGAUCCGGGCGUUAUCCGGAUUUAUUUGGUUUAAAGGGAGCGUAGAUGGGUUGUUAAGUCAGUUGUGAAAGUUUGCGGCUCAACCGUAAAAUUGCAAUUGAUACUGGCAGGCUUGAGUAUAGUUGAGGGAGGCGGAAUUCGUGGUGUAGCGGUGAAAUGCGUAGAUAUCACGAAGAACUCCGAUUGCGAAGGCAGCCUACUAAACUGCCACUGACAUUGAUGUUCGAAAGUGUGGGUAGCAAACAGGAUUAGAUACCCCGGUAGUC